rnacentral:rRNA from 1 species
UACGUAGGGGGCAAGCGUUGUCCGGAAUUAUUGGGCGUAAAGCGCGCGCAGGCGGCCUUUUAAGUCUGAUGUGAAAGUCUACGGCUUAACCGUAGAAGGCCAUUGGAAACUGGAGGGCUUGAGUGCAGAAGAGGAGAGUGGAAUUCCAUGUGUAGCGGUGAAAUGCGUAGAGAUAUGGAGGAACACCAGUGGCGAAGGCGACUCUCUGGUCUGCAACUGACGCUGAGGCGCGAAAGCGUGGGUAGCGAACAGG